ensembl:misc_RNA Metazoa_SRP Metazoan signal recognition particle RNA
GCCAGGCGUGGUGGCGCAUGCCUGUAAUCCCAGCUACUCAGGAGGCUGAGGCAGGAGAAUCACUUGAACCCAGGAGGCGGAGAUUGCAGUGAGCUGAGAUCGUGCCACUGCACUCUAGCCUGGGUGACAGAGCGAGACUCUGACUCAAAAACAAACAAACAAAAGUGGCCGAGCUCAGCAGCUCAAGCCUGUAAUCCCAGCACUUUGGAAGGCUGAGGUGGGUGGAUCACCUGAGGUCAGCAGUUUGAGACCAGCCUGGCUAACAUGGUGAAAGCCUGUCUCU